UCAACAACAAAAGGGUAUAAAUGCCUCAACAGAUACAUGCUGGCAGAAGAAGGGUUCAGGAAGAGCAUAUAACAGUUUAUCAGGAGUGGCAUCACUAAUCGGGCAAAAGACUGGAAAAGUAUUGCAUCAUACCAUGAGAUCUGGGGAUUGUAGAGUAUGUACCAUUGCUAAUAGAAAAGGAGAAGUUCCAAGAAAACACAAGUGUACUAAAAACUGGACUGGAUCAGCAAAAGCUAUGGAGCCUGACAUGGUUGUCCAGAUGAUCAGAGAUUUAAAUGAACAAAAUGUCCCAAUAUCUGAACUUGCUGGGGAUGAUGAUUCUACUGGAUACAAUAGAGCCAUGAAAGAAAUGCCAGAUUUACAAAUGGUUAAAACCAGUGAUCGUAACCAUGUAACCAAAAAUAUUGUUAAUAAACUGUAUAGCUUGAAGCCAAAACAUAAGGAAUUAUCUGUGAUGGUGAUUAAUGCUAUUAC